rnacentral:rRNA from 1 species
GCAGAAACUCCCCUGGCUGCUGGCAUGUGGACGGUCUCCUUCAGGGUUGGAAAAUAACAAUCUCGGAAGCUAAGCAGGGUCGGGCCUGGUUAGUACUUGGAUGGGAGACAACCUAGGAAGAUCGGGUGCUGUA